ensembl:miRNA
AGGUGGGAGGAUUGCUUGAGCCCGGGAGGUGGAGGUUGCAGUGAGCUGAGAUCACGCCACUGCACUGCAGCCUGGG